rnacentral:rRNA from 1 species
GACGUAGGGCGCGAGCGUUGUCCGGAUUUAUUGGGCGUAAAGAGCUCGUAGGCGGUUUGUUGCGUCGGCUGUGAAAUCCCACGGCUCAACCGUGGAACUGCUUGGUAUACUGCGGGUCUUGAGCCACCUAGGGGCAAGCGGAACAAGCGGUGGAGCGGUGAAAUGCGUAGAUAUCGCUUGGAACGCCAAUGGUGAAAACAGCUUGCUGGGGGUGUGCUGACGCUGAGACACGAAAGCCUGGGGAGCAAACGGG